rnacentral:misc_RNA from 1 species
GUUCGAGUAAUUGUGGACUCCAAAAGAGAAACAUCGCUCAGGUUCCUCGAUGAGGAUAAGACGCGAGGAUCCUUGGUGGACAUUCUCGGAGAGAUAUGGUUAAUAGUUAUGGUUAAUAGUCGCCAUUUGUAUAAGCUCUGUAUCUGUGUUCUGCUGCGGUUUUCGUUAUGGAGAGUAACAGUGAAACAGAGGCGCAGAGCGAAACAAAAAAC